GGGCCCGUCGUCUAGAGGAAGUUCGGAAAGUCAGGACUAGGACGCUGGCCUGCGGAGCCGGAGGUCCGGGGUUCGAAUCCCCGCGGGCCCGCCA
rnacentral:tRNA from 1 species